rnacentral:rRNA from 1 species
UACGUAGGGCCCGAGCGUUUAUCCGGUAUUAUUGGGCGUAAAGCGUACGUAGGCGGUUUGGUAAGACAAUGGUUAAAGCUCCGAGCCUAACUCGGAAAUCGCCGUUGUGACUGCCAGACUAGUCGGUAGCAGGGGCAAGCGGAAUUCUCGGUGUAGGAGUGAAAUCCGUUGAGAAUCGAGAAGAACACCAAUGGCGAAGGCAGCUUGCUAGGCUAUCUGAGACGCUGAGGUACGAAAGCGUGGGGAGCGAACGGGG